GUUGACUUCAGUCAUCGAUUUCGCGUAUUUUCAUUGCAAAGAUGCCCAGGAAAAAGAAAGUUUUCAUCGGCAGUCGCCAGAAGGGCUACUCAAAGUGGGGUCCGAGACAACAAGGUUUCAAGAGAUGCACUGUGGGACAAAGCAUGGAAGUCAUUCUUCAUUGACCUCACCGAUGAACCCACAGAUACCCCAUGCCUGGAAGAAGCGACAGAUUCUGAUGGUUGUUCGGCUGAUGAAUUCUUUGGGUUUAUUUGACACAAUUCACCAGUAUCAUCCGGACAACAAUGUAGAUGAAUUUGUUGAUGGCAUCCUGCGAUACCAGCAAUAUUUAACAUUAAAAAAGGAGCUGUUUCAGCAUGUAGAUGAGCUAGGCAAUUUUACAAUUGCAAGAAACAAGCGUGAAAACAGUACUAUUGUGCAGUUUUAUGACUGACGUAGGCUCAGUCCAGCUUUCAGUAGUCAUCAAGCCAUCCUUUACAUCAGCAAUAUAUGCACAUCGACGUGACUUUAGCCCAAAUCAUGAAUUCUGGAUUGGUUUACCUGCAUUUUUCUCCACUCUAAGAGAUAUGAAGAAACUUUUAUCAAAACUGUCUACAUACCAUGUUUGCGUUGGCAAUUAUGAAGACAGAUUUGCAGACUUGAUUCCAGUUGGUGCAGGCAUAAGUGAAGGAGCUAUUUCAACAAUAUCUGCCUAAU